UGGGGAAUAUUGGACAAUGGGGGGAACCCUGAUCCAGCCAUGCCGCGUGUGUGAAGAAGGCCUUAUGGUUGUAAAGCACUUUAAGCGAGGAGGAGGGUACUGGUAUUAAUACUACCAGGUACUGGACGUUACUCGCAGAAUAAGCACCGGCUAACUCUGUGCCAGCAGCCGCGGUAAUACAGAGGGUGCGAGCGUUAAUCGGAUUUACUGGGCGUAAAGCGUGCGUAGGCGGCUAAUUGAGUCGGAUGUGAAAUCCCCGAGCUUAACUUGGGAAUUGCAUUCGAUACUGGUUAGCUAGAGUGUGGGAGAGGAUGGUAGAAUUCCAGGUGUAGCGGUGAAGUGCGUAGAGAUCUGGAGGAAUACCGAUGGCGAAGGCAGCCAUCUGGCCUAACACUGACGCUGAGGUACGAAAGCAUGGGGAGCAAACAGG
rnacentral:rRNA from 1 species